UCCCAAGGACACAAAAAAACACAAAACAUCAAAAAACAUUGCAAAAAAACACAAACAUACAAAAAAUGCAUGCUUGCUUCUUCUUUGCCCCUCCUAUUUG
rnacentral:ribozyme from 1 species